GAGAGAGAGAUUGGCCAGCUCCCAGCCCCCCGUCCCCAUAGGCAAGCCUCCUCUCUCUCUCCUCUCUCGUGAGCCCUCUCUCCCCCGCGACUCCUCGCCGCCGCCGCCGCCACGGCCACUCGCGCCGGCCGAUUCCGUCGAGUCCGACAGCGGGUGGCAGACUGAAGACCUUCCCUCGCUCUGCUCCUUCCUCCCAUCCCUCCAGAUCCGGCCUCCCGCGCUCGCUGCCGACCCUCAGCCAUGGCUAGGGUUACGGGCGCGGCGUCCCCUUCGUCGCCGGCGAGGCUUUGGCGGCCUGCGGUGGCUCGUCCCGCCCACGUGUGGCUCCGCCUCAUGGACGUUCCUCUUCAGCGGCGUCGCCGGACUAGCUCCACGCGCGGGUUCGCCAAGGUGAGUGCGAUGCUGAUGAGAGACGGCAUCCGAGGACAUCAUCACGCUCAACUCGAGCUGCUCCCCCACCGUCCCGCAGCCCGCUGCUGCUCCCACCCCCCGCCCCCUCUCCUCUCCCGUCGCCGGGAAAUGGCUACACCACCAGCUCCGCCGCCUCAACGUCCUCGACCACCAGGUUAACCAAAACUUUGCAAGUUGAUGCUCUCAGGGUAGGACUCCGAAGUCUGACAAGCACUUCCGCUUCAACCAGAGUCACCUACAGCAAUAGGUGCUCCAAUGCAUAUUCGACUUGUUGUGCUACAGAGCCAGUGCUCCAAUGCAUAUUCGACUUGUUGUGCUACAAAGCCAGAAGCGCUACCAGUGGAAACACCCUCAUCGGAUAUGCUUGUUGAUUCCUUCGGGAGGUUCCACAACUACUUGAGGAUCUCCUUGACUGAACGCUGUAACUUGAGAUGUCAAUACUGCAUGCUUGCCUUAGUCUAGAGACAUUAAAUAUUAGUUUGAACACAUUGGUUCCUGCAAAUUCGGAGGCAAAGAAAGUCCACUGAAGAAGCUCUCUGUAACUGCUAUUUAGUCUUCAAACACACAUGCCUAUUAUAUCAUGGAGGACUAUUUUAGUGAGCAUUGUUAAAUAGUAGUAUAUGGAAGAUGUGGCUUCAACUGUCCGAAAUUUCCACUUUGAGCUCACAAGUAGUUAUUUCUGUAAGCCAUUGUUCUUGUUCUCUUUCUUUUGUUUAGCCCUUUUCUGAACUGGCAUAGGUUUCGUUGGCAACCUUCCCCUACACCACAACCUAUGUUCCAUAAGCAAGUUUAUUUAUACUGCCCAAAAUUUACUAAUAUGGGUUGGAUCAUGCAUUUGCAACUUAUAGUGUUUGUUCUUUUUAUUGUGCUAUUAACUCAGCACCUUACAAAAGUUGUGUCUUUGAAAUAAUGGUCAAACUGCUCUCUGCAGUCCUAUCAUUAAUUAUGAUUUUGAAGCAAAACUAUCAGUAUCUAAUUCUAACAGUAUGAUAGCACCCUGGUUAUAUUUGUAGGUUUUUAGGCUGGGCGCAUAUAUGUCAUAUUUUUCAUCAAUAAAAUAGCUUAUAAUAUGUAACUACAAAAGACGAGUAAAACCUGUUCACUGGAACCAUAGAAAAGCUAUUCCUUUUACGUUUGGUGAGCACAAAACAUACAUAAAGAUUUUGAAUCUGCAUUUAUUGAACUCUCUACAGGCCUACUGCAUUCGGAUUUAUUGUUCCGUACUGGAAGUGCCUGAAGAGCUUGAAUCGUCCAUUUUGUAUUAGAAUGAGAUUUAAGAUUCAGUACAGGAGUCAAGAUGUUAAUGAGAGGCGAUCUAGAAUGAUUACAGGUAUUAAUGAAGUAGACCCCAUUAGGUGGAUUGGUUCAAAAUGGAAAAGCCUGCUGGUAGGUAUUCCGAUCGUUUGUAUUAAGCAUUUAUGUUCUUAGCAAUUCAGAACACUAUUAUCUUUGGAUUUCCUUGCAGUAUUCUAGAAACAUGUAUUUUCUUUCGGACCUUUUAUGUUGUCUGACCAUGAAUUUGGCUUAAAAUGCUCCUGGUGAGGCUUCAAAGUGACACAGUGUGCCAAGGCCCACCGUCACAUUCAGGUUCAUUCACCCUGAAAUUUAUUUAGAGCAACUUGCCUAUCCAUCUUACAUCCUUACAAAAAAGUGUGUUCCCAUGGAGCCUGAAAUGCACUUUUGUAGAUUUUAACUUUUGGGUAGGGGUACUUUUUUAAACAUAGCAUGGUUAUGAAAAUGUCUAAUUAGAAAAAUGAAUUGAUAUGAGGAGUUAUGUCCUAAUUUGCUCUAGAUGUAGAUCACUGAAGAUGCAUUAAGAGUUGUACCUUCUUAUCAAGCAUGAAUUUAUAGUCGGACGGUUCACUGGUUAUCUGUGAACUGAAAUGAUGCCCUCUUGUUCAGGUAAGAUGGGAUGAUGGCUCAGACUGUAACAGCCAAAAUAAACCAUCUCCAUGGGAGAUCGAGAUAGUUGGUGGCUCAGUCUCCAUUGCCCAGUCUGUCAAAAUCCAGUUCUAAACUAGCUAAACUGUGCCCUCGGGGCAAUUUAGACGUCUCAAACUAAAGCAACUCGAGUUGCGGUGGUGGUCCGCAACUCCAUCACCGUCUUCCUCGGCAGGAGCAUCCGCCGCUGCUGCUCGCCGUCUGUCCACGGCACCGGUGUUGGUCUCCUUCUCACCUUCCGUGCUCUCUUCCCAUCCCGCCUCCCACUGCCGCCACCACUGCUCGAGGAUGCCCUGUGGAUUUGGAUUUUUCACAAUCGGUACACAGUAAAGUACUUUUGGAUUGGCCGGGCGGUGAGCUGCAGUGCCGCUAGCUCGUCGACGACGGCUACGAUGCCAUCUGUGGCGUCCCUUGGUUCUUUCUCCUCGACAUCGACCUUCUUGACGGUAUGGUCUUCCUCCUCUUCCCCUCCCUUAAUUUCUAUGGUUUUUAAGUUGGUUCAGUAGUUGAUUCACGGUCCAUGAGUUUGGAUAAAACGACAGGCGGCGGCAGAAAGAGCCGUUCCACGACGAAUCUCUGGUACAAUGGCUCCUUCCUCGGUUUCCCCGGUUCUGGAUUCAAGUUCCUAAUAAAUGGAUACUGUUUUUUCUUGAUUGUGACUUUUGGAAUUUUUUAUUUGAUAGAUGAGAGGGCAAGCAAAAGGUGAUCAAUCAAUGGAGACGAAGUAUUUGUCAAAUUGCUUGCAAGGGUGGUGAGAAUUUAUUGGUCGUCAUUUGUCUAGUGUCAUAAUCUUAGAGCCUUUUCUGAUUCUCUAGAAUGUUGGAACAGUCUUGUUGUUUCAGUUUACAUUUGGAUGGUCAUGGUCUGUGCAGAUGAAGUUCUUUUGGAUUAAUUUUUCCACCCUAACAGUUCCUUCCCUGUUAUAUCUCAGGCUGUACGAUCUCUGCAGAUUGCCGCUUCUUUGUUCUGCCGGUGGAGGUUCAGUGUAUCAUUGCAAGUUCCUUACACCGGCAAAUUCAGUAUUUUUGUAUUUUUUGGACGCACGCCUGUUCUUCGACUAUAAAACAGCAGAGAUUUCUUUUUUUCUCGAGUCUAAUCAUUUUUUGAUGCAUUGCAGCUUUGCUAUCAAACUCUCAAAAAGGAAAAAGCAACUUUAUUCUAAUUUUUGGAGAUCCUUCAUGUAGAGUCACUACCUCGACAGAGACAAAUAUGCAAUCGAGAAUAUAUUCGAUGGGUUUUCACUCCUCAGGCAAAGCUUGGAGGAUAUUUUUACUGGUUCAACGUUUGCUUUAUUGCUUUCUUACCUUUCGUUCUUCAAGACAAUAUUUUCCUAGCAGUGCUCGAUAACUUUAAAUCCAUCUUUUUGUUCUUUGCAUUAUCACAAAACAGUGUUGUUCUACCUUUUUGUUUUUGAAUUUUGAUUGAUCAUGAGCAACGACAAUGCAACCUACAAGUAACUAUUAUGUUUUCUCCAGUCCUCUGUCCAUAUUCUAUUAAUUGGUGACUUAUCUAUACGUAGUUAAUACACUCGGUUGUAGUUUUAUAUCAUGUUUCCUUUAGGUUUGUACGUAGGAUGUUCCUUUUAUUUUUUAGACUCUAAUGUUCCUGAUGACUACAUACAUCUUGCUGUUUUGGAAACUGCUUCUUGGGAAUAAUGUUGGAUCUUUCCUGAGAUGGUUUACUAUAUUAAUCCCUUGAAAUCAUUAGGCCAGUAAUAAAGGUUGCAUUUCAUCACAUUGAGGUAACAUUCUAAUUUGUGCUAUCUCAGGUUCAGAAGGUUGGUGAAACCCGAAGGUCACGGGAUCAACACCUCUUGGUGCAAACAACCUUUCACUUAUGAUAUUUGUAUUCUGUUGAAACUGCAAAAUAUCAUUCCAGGGUUGAAUGCCUAAAUGUUGAUAUCUGCAUGCUUCUAAAUUUACAUCGUGAAUCAUAUUUAUGCUGCUACGUUUUUCCCAAGAUUUGUAUUAUUUCGUCCAAAGCGUGAUAAUGUGCACUACAUUUGUAUUGCUCUAUCGUAUUUUUACAUUUGCAUC